AGCAAAUUGAGCAAAUGAUUGGGGCAUGGCAUGAAACUUUGUUGUUCACUUCAUCUCUUACAGCUUUGGCUUGCUCAUCUGGAAAGUGGAGCUCCAAAUACUACCGUGGUCAGAGGAUGUGUGUCUUAUGGGUUAUUGUACAGAGCUGACGACAGGAAUGAGCUCUGAAAGUUACCACACUGUUAAAGUACCGGGCUGUUACCUAGUAUAUAGUGAUUCUGGCAGCUGCUGUUCAUCUCGGACCAAUUAGAAGCAGAGGAUGUUUUCAAGCCUGCUGGCUAAAUCUAGGUAUUUAACUUCUUGCCAGAAAACUAUAAUGAAGAUGAACCCAAAUGAAAAAGGCAAAGCAAUCUUCUUCGGCUACAAAUGUCUUAGGCCCAUUAUUGUAAGACGUGUGAAAGUACUACAUUUACAGAAAGGUCUAAGUAAUCGCAAACAAGGCAUGCUGCUCACUGGCUAUGUGACCUUGGGACAACAACCGAACACCUCGAUGCCUCAGUUUCUUCAUGUGUGAAAUGGAAAUAUUGCCGUCUCAAGCGUUCCUGUGAGUAGAAAGGAAAUCUGCCUCAGUGAGCUGCUCAGAAUGGUCUUCAGCAUGUUUUAGGCUCUCAGCUUUAUCUGAUUUCUUAAACCCCUGGUUCCUGGCACAAGGUGGAAAUGUGGUCAAUAUUCACUGCACUGAAUGAGGUCAUUUCAUCCCUGGACAGAUCUCCAGACUCACUUUUACCUAUUGCCAGGGCUUGAUGUAGACAGUUUGGUAUUCAGUAUUUCACAUUUGGAUUUGUGAUGAAUUUCUGGAAUCAUAUCGAAUGUGGUCUCCACAAAUAGCAUGGAGCAUUUUCCCAGGCUGUCAUUUGUGGCUCUGUAGCAGUUCUGCUAACACAUUUCGGGAGUUACCCCCUAAUGACAGUUUUACAACACGGUAAUUUCACUUAGUCCAUAACCUUGAGAGAGGUGCGCUUGGGGUUCCUAUUAUAAUGUAACAAAUGAAG
rnacentral:lncRNA from 1 species